rnacentral:rRNA from 1 species
UUUAUGAUGAUGUAACACUCCCCGCGUCAGAUGAACGCUGGCGGCAGCCUAACACAUGCAAGUCGAGCGGUAGAGAGAAGCUUGCUUCUCUUGAGAGCGGCGGACGGGUGAGUAAUGCCUAGGAAUCUGCCUGGUAGUGGGGGAUAACGUUCGGAAACGGACGCUAAUACCGCAUACGUCCUACGGGAGAAAGCAGGGGACCUUCGGGCCUUGCGCUAUCAGAUGAGCCUAGGUCGGAUUAGCUAGUUGGUGAGGUAAUGGCUCACCAAGGCGACGAUCCGUAACUGGUCUGAGAGGAUGAUCAGUCACACUGGAACUGAGACACGGUCCAGACUCCUACGGGAGGCAGCAGUGGGGAAUAUUGGACAAUGGGCGAAAGCCUGAUCCAGCCAUGCCGCGUGUGUGAAGAAGGUCUUCGGAUUGUAAAGCACUUUAAGUUGGGAGGAAGGGCAUUAACCUAAUACGUUAGUGUUUUGACGUUACCGACAGAAUAAGCACCGGCUAACUCUGUGCCAGCAGCCGCGGUAAUACAGAGGGUGCAAGCGUUAAUCGGAAUUACUGGGCGUAAAGCGCGCGUAGGUGGUUUGUUAAGUUGGAUGUGAAAUCCCCGGGCUCAACCUGGGAACUGCAUUCAAAACUGACUGACUAGAGUAUGGUAGAGGGUGGUGGAAUUUCCUGUGUAGCGGUGAAAUGCGUAGAUAUAGGAAGGAACACCAGUGGCGAAGGCGACCACCUGGACUAAUACUGACACUGAGGUGCGAAAGCGUGGGGAGCAAACAGGAUUAGAUACCCUGGUAGUCCACGCCGUAAACGAUGUCAACUAGCCGUUGGAAGCCUUGAGCUUUUAGUGGCGCAGCUAACGCAUUAAGUGACCGCCGGGAGUACCGAU